CUCCGAGAGUUGGAGGGCACUGUGUUCCAGACGGAUGAGCGGCCUCCUCCUGGGCGAGCUAGCUAUGGGGCCGUGUUUCCUGGAAUAAGCCCUCAUCUCUGGGGAGAGCGGCAGAACUCGAGGGAGCCACCUCAUCCUCCCCAGAGCUCACAGCCACACAGGAAGCCCCUUCCCACUGGGCUCUGGGCUCCUGCACGAGGGUUCUUGCCUCAGGAAGAAAGCGGGUCUCCCUUCGCGCCUGUGGGGCAGAGAGAUGGGGCUGUGAGAAGUGAGUUGUGGAGGUGGGUGAGGCUGGAGGCCCAGGCAGCUCUAGGGGCGUAAGCUCCAUGCCCCCUAGAUAAAGAAACCUGGGCACUUGCUGUAAGUCUCUCUGACUCCUGCAAUGCUGGGUGUAGGAAUACUUGCUUUGACUGUCCAGGUAGGAGAAUCAUGUUAAAAAUGGC
rnacentral:lncRNA from 1 species